CACCAGGCUCCUCUCUCCAUGGAAUUCUCCAGGCCAGAAUACCAGAGUGGGUAGCCAUUCCCUUCUCCAGGCGAUCUUCCCAACCCAGGAUUGAACCCAGGUUUCCCACAUUGCAGCUGGAUUCUUUACCAGCUGAGCCACCAGGGAAGCUGGAGUGGGUAGCCUAUCCCUUCUCCAGGGGAUCUUCUGACCCAGGAAUUGAGUCUCCUGCAUUGCAGGUGGAUUCUUUACCAACUGAGCUAUCAGAGAAACCCUAGAGAAAGAACAUCAAAACAAAAGAGAUGGAGAAAUUGGAAAACAUAAACUAAGUGAAAUGGGAACACUGAAUAUGAAAUAGAUAAAGUGAAACAAACUAGAUAAAACUAAAAGAUUCUUAUAUAGUCUAGUUGUUUUUAAACAUGACUGCUCUCUAGAAACAUAUCUGGAGCUCUGGUGAAAAAAAAGCGGUACCUGGGCAUUUAUAUUUUUCAAAAAAUUGCAAGAUAAUUCUGGUAUGCAUCUUGUUUUAAAAAGUGAUUACAGAUUUUUCUAUUGAAUGGUAGUUUGGUGAUACAGAGUUCUAUUAUUUUUCUGUUGACCAGUCAUGAUACAAUGGUAUUAAGUGAGUAAUAGUCACUUUCACUUUCAUGAGCCUAUUACCAUUUUUCUUAAUUGUUUUGUGUUUAUUUUCUAUAGGUAAGUCUUUUCCUUCUCUUAUUUCCUGCCUAGAGAAGUUCCUUUAGCAUUUGUUGUAAAGCUGGUUUGGUAGUGCUGAAUUCUCUUUAACUUUUGCUUAUCUAGAAAGCUUUUGAUUUCGCCAUCAGAUCUGAAGGAGUCUUGCUGGGUAGAGUAUUCUUGGCUGUAGGUUCUUCCCUUUCAUCACUUUAAAUAUAUCAUGCCAUUCCCUUCUGGCCUGUAGUUUCUGUUGAGAAAUCAGCUGAUAGCCUGAUGGGAGUUCCAUUGUAUGUUGUCAUUUUUCCCUUGUUGCUUUUAGUAUUUUCUCAGUGUCUUUCAUUUUUGUCAGUUUGAUUACUGUGUGUCACACUGUGUUCCUCCUUGUGUUUAUCCUGCCUGGGACUCUCUGUGCUUCCUAGAGUUGGUAGGCUAUUUCCUUUCCCACAUUAGGGAAAUUUCAG
ensembl:lncRNA